AACGAACGCUGGCGGCAUGCCUAACACAUGCAAGUCGAACGAGACCUUCGGGACUAGUGGCGCACGGGUGCGUAACGCGUGGGAACCUGCCCUUAGGCUCGGAAUAACUCCUCGAAAGGGGUGCUAAUAUCGGAUAAUGUCUUCGGACCAAAGAUUUAUCGCCCUUGGAUGGGCCCGCGUUGGAUUAGCUAGUUGGUAGGGUAAAAGCCUACCAAGGCGACGAUCCAUAGCUGGUCUGAGAGGAUGAUCAGCCACACUGGGACUGGGACACGGCCCAGACUCCUACGGGAGGCAGCAGUGGGGAAUAUGGGACAAUGGGCUAAAGCCUGAUCCAGCAAUGCCGGGUAAGUGAUGAAGGCCUUAGAGUUGUAAAGCUCUUUUACCCGGGAUGAUAAUGACAUUACCGAGAGAAUAAGCUCCGGCUAACUCCGUG
rnacentral:rRNA from 1 species